ensembl:misc_RNA Metazoa_SRP Metazoan signal recognition particle RNA
GCCGGGUGCAGUGGUGCAUGCCUGAAGUUGCAGCUUUUUAGUCCCCGUAGUUCUGGACUGUAGUGCACUAUGCCUAUCUUUGUCCAUACUAAGUUCAGCAUCAGUGUGGUGACCUCCUGGUAACAGGGGACCACCAGAUUGCCUAAAGAAUGGGAUAUUCUACCCAGGGCAGAAAAACAGAACAGGUCAAAACUUUCGUGCUGAUCAUAGCUGGAUCACAUCUGUGAAUAGCACCCUAGCCAUAGUGAGCCCUGU